AGCUGCCUGAGCAGCCCGUGCAGACGCCGCAAGCAGAAGAGCCCACCGGCCUGAUUCAGGUGCUCCGGUCUCGUGGUUUUGCUGCAUCGGUCUAAAACAAACGCAAGAAACAAAGAGGUGGAUCAGAAUGGAAGACGAGCCAGGGGGUCUGCACCCGGAAGCUGCCAGGGCCACGCAACGGGGCAAAUGAACCCGGCUUUUACCUGCGUGACCUCGGCACAGGACUCACGGAACAGAGCCAGAGUGACCAACGAGAAGCACCUUUAGGACGCCUGGAACUUGAAGCUCACUCGAUCCUUCCAUCCUCCUCCUCUGUGUUUAGCUCGCAUUCUUAAUACAUCUCACAGGCCUCGUGAGUUGCUUCUUCAUA